GGGGGCGACCGGUUUCGACGGGAAGCUCUUUUAAAAGACGGCAAGCAGACUUUGAUUAGUAGUCUUAAAACAAUAAUCAAAAACUAGCGUCAAUAAACCUAGUCAUAAUUUUGCCUUCGCUUAAAAAACGUUUUAAGGCAAAUGUUCUGAAGGAGGCGCUUCUUGACCGCGCCUUUAGGCAUAAACCUGUCAAGAUGCAGCAGAAUCCCUCUGAUUUAAGGGUUCUACUUAAGAAAUUUAAAUCUUAUUCUAAUUUUUUUGGGUUACUUUAAAGGUUGGAAGAAAUUACAAGGUAACCUAAGCUUGUAGAAGUCUUUUAGUUGACUUUUCGGACGAGGGUUCAAUUCCCUCCGCCUCCACAA
rnacentral:tmRNA from 2 species